GACGAACGCUGGCGGCGUGCUUAACACAUGCAAGUCGAACGGUGAAGCGCCUUCCUUUUUGGUGGGUGUGGAUGAGUGGCGAACGGGUGAGUAACACGUGAGUAACCUGCCCCCUUCUUCUGGAUAACCGCAUGAAAGUGUGGCUAAUACGGGAUAUUCUGGGUCUGUCGCAUGAUGGGUCUGGGAAAGAUAUUGUUUCGGUGGGGGAUGGGCUCGCGGCCUAUCAGCUUGUUGGUGGGGUGAUGGCCUACCAAGGCGGUGACGGGUAGCCGGCCUGAGAGGGUGGACGGUCACACUGGGACUGAGACACGGCCAAGACUGCUACGGGGGGCAGCAGUGGGGAAUAGUGCACAAUGGGCGAAAGCCUGAUGCAGCGACGCCGCGUGAGGGAUGGAGGACUUCGGGUUGUGAACCUCUUUCGCCAGUGAAGCAGGCCUGCCUCGUUUGUGGGUGGGUUGACGGUAGCUGGAUAAGAAGCGCCGGCUAACUACGUG
rnacentral:rRNA from 1 species